UUGUUUCUGUUUUCUUCCUUCUAGAAAUUAGAGCUUUCUGUGGUACCUGAACUACUUCAAAACAAUCUUGUGUGCUGGGCUUCCAGUAGCAGCUGCUGUUCACUUCUGCUGGGAGCUGCACGUAGGGCUGGUGGGAAGCGGCUGCUCAAGGGCAAAAUACAUCUGGGAACAUCUCAUUUAGGUUUUACAUUUCAUGAAGAUGACUGCAGCCCCCUCCAUCUUUCUGUGUUAUCUCCUUCCUGCUAGCUACAAGAUGCCAUAGGAAUGCAAGGGUACUAGGGUGAGUGAGAAAUUCGAGCUUGGUGUCAGAGCUGCUGUAAGCCCUCUGGGA
ensembl:lncRNA